rnacentral:rRNA from 1 species
UACGUAGGGUGCAAGCGUUGUCCGGAAUUAUUGGGCGUAAAGAGCUCGUAGGCGGUUUGUCGCGUCUGCUGUGAAAACCCGAGGCUCAACCUCGGGCCUGCAGUGGGUACGGGCAGACUAGAGGCAUGCAGGGGAGAACGGAAUUCCUGGUGUAGCGGUGAAAUGCGCAGAUAUCAGGAGGAACACCGAUGGCGAAGGCAGGUCUCUGGGCCACUACUGACGCUGAGAAGCGAAAGCAUGGGGAGCGAACAGG